UACUCGAGUGGCGAACGGGUGAGUAACACGUGGGUGAUCUGCCCUGCACUUCGGGAUAAGCCUGGGAAACUGGGUAUAAUACCGGAUAGGACGAUGGUUUGGAUGCCAUUGUGGAAAGUUUUUUCGGUGUGGGAUGAGCUCGCGGCCUAUCAGCUUGUUGGUGGGGUAAUGGCCUACCAAGGCGUCGACGGGUAGCCGGCCUGAGAGGGUGUACGGCCACAUUGGGACUGAGAUACGGCCCAG
rnacentral:rRNA from 1 species